UUUUAAAAGAGAAAACUUACCACAAAAUCUCUCAUGGAGUGGAAUCAGAAAGUCAGAUAUUGGAAAAAAAAAACAAAAGACAUUUUAUAUUUUACUAAAUUUAAAAAAUAAUAGACUUAUUAUUAAGAUAUAUAGCAUCACACUCGUUUUUAUUGUACCUAUUAUAAGUAUAUUUUUUAAUUGAAAAAAAAAUCAAAUAUAUAUAACCAACUCUCUCAACAUCAUCAAUGAUGAUCAAUCCAUUAACUUUGAAUUUAAAUUUAAAUUAAA
rnacentral:lncRNA from 1 species